UUUUGCUUCCGGGAGACGGGAGCGUUUCCUGUUGCUGUGGCGGCGGCUCCCGGGACCGAGUGCAACCGGCGGCUCCCCGGGGAGUCUGAUUGUGCAGUGAAUGUCCAUAAGAACUGCAAGAAUUUACUGGCUGAAUGCAGCAGCAUCAGACCCAAGAAAGAUUUGCAGCACAGACCUUCUGGAUCUCCACAAAGUUCGUCCCAGUGCAUUUCCCCAGGUUUGUACUAAAGAAUGAUUUCUGUGCUCAAGGCUUAUCUGUUCAAUUGUAUUUUUUUUCU
rnacentral:lncRNA from 1 species